UAGGGAAUCUUCCACAAUGGACGCAAGUCUGAUGGAGCAACGCCGCGUGAGUGAAGAAGGUUUUCGGAUCGUAAAGCUCUGUUGUUGGUGAAGAAGGAUAGAGGCAGUAACUGGCCUUUAUUUGACGGUAAUCAACCAGAAAGUCACGGCUAACUACGUGCCAGCAGCCGCGGUAAUACGUAGGUGGCAAGCGUUGUCCGGAUUUAUUGGGCGUAAAGCGAGCGCAGGCGGAAGAAUAAGUCUGAUGUGAAAGCCCUCGGCUUAACCGAGGAACUGCAUCGGAAACUGUUUUUCUUGAGUGCAGAAGAGGAGAGUGGAACUCCAUGUGUAGCGGUGGAAUGCGUAGAUAUAUGGAAGAACACCAGUGGCGAAGGCGACUCUCUGGUCUGCAACUGACGCUGAGGCUCGAAAGCAUGGGUAGCGAACAGGAUUAGAUACCCUGGUAGUCCAUGCCGUAAACGAUGAGUGCUAAGUGUUGGGAGGUUUCCGCCUCUCAGUGCUGCAGCUAACGCAUUAAGCACUCCGCCUGGGGAGUACGACCGCAAGGUUGAAACUCAAAGGAAUUGACGGGGGCCCGCACAAGCGGUGGAGCAUGUGGUUUAAUUCGAAGC
rnacentral:rRNA from 1 species